UCUGUGUGAAGUUUGCAUGUUCUCCUCGUGUUGGCUUGGGUUUCCUCCGGGUGCUCCGGUUUCCCCCACAAGACAUGCGGUACAGGUGAAAUGGAUUGUGAUGGACCUGGAAUGUUACACCAGUUACUCUUAAGUCAAGAACCAAAUGAAGCACACUUUUCCAGAGUACAGAUUAUGGAAGUAUCUGCAGCUAACUGGAAGCAGGGAACCAUACUAAUAAAGUUCAUUUAGUGAAAUAUUGGACCAGAUGUUCCAUAAAGCGGAUGGGAAAACCUUGUCCUCUGAAGUGGACGUCAAAGUAGACCCUGCAUCAUUU